rnacentral:rRNA from 1 species
CGCAGCCGCGGUAAUUCCAGCUCCAAUAGCGUAUAUUAAAGUUGUUGCAGUUAAAAAGCUCGUAGUUGAAUUUCGGGAUCAAUUUAUUGGUCGUGCUAUUGUACGUACUGGUAUUAUUGAUUCCUACCUUCUGACGAACCAUGAUGUCAUUAAUUUGGUGUCAUGGGGAAUCAGGACUGUUACUUUGAAAAAAUUAGAGUGUUUAAAGCAGGCUCACGCUUGAAUACAUUAGCAUGGAAUAACGAAAUAGGACGUUUGAUUCUAUUUUGUUGGUUUCUAGGAUCGACGUAAUGAUUAAUAGGGAUAGUUGGGGGCAUUAGUAUUCAAUUGUCAGAGGUGAAAUUCUUGGAUUUAUUGAAGACUAACUACUGCGAAAGCAUUUGCCAAGGAUGUUUUCAUUAAUCAAGAACGAAAGUUAGGGGAUCGAAGACGAUCAGAUACCGUCGUAGUCUUAACCAUAAACUAUGCCGACUAGGGAUCGGAUGAUGUUAAUUUUUUAAUGUACUCAUUCGGCGCCUUA